UACAGAGGGUGCAAGCGUUAAUCGGAAUUACUGGGCGUAAAGCGUGCGUAGACGGUAGCGUAAGUCGGGUGUGAAAGCCCCGGGCUCAACCUGGGAAUUGCAUUCGAGACUGCUCUGCUAGGGUGCGGAAGAGGGGAGCGGAAUUUCCGGUGUAGCGGUGAAAUGCGUAGAUAUCGGAAGGAACACCAGUGGCGAAAGCGGCUCCCUGGGCCAGCACCGACGUUCAGGCACGAAAGCGUGGGGAGCAAACAGG
rnacentral:rRNA from 1 species